GGACAAUAAUAUCUGUUGUCUGA
rnacentral:snRNA from 1 species